rnacentral:rRNA from 1 species
GACGAACGCUGGCGGCGUGCUUAACACAUGCAAGUCGAGCGGAGCGGCGAACGGGUGAGUAACGCGUGAGUAACUGCCCCCCUCUCUGGGCUAACAGUUGGCAACGUCUGCUAAUACCGGAUAGUGGGGGAUGACUCUCGUACUAUCAGCUUGUUGGUGGGGUAGUGGCCUACCACGGCGACGACGGGUCGCCGGCCUGAGAGGGCGACCGGCCACAUUGGGCUGAGAUACGGCCCAUACUCCUACGGGAGGCAGCAGUGGGGAAUAUUGCACAAUGGGGGGAACCCUGAUGCAGCAACGCCGCGUGCGGGAUGACGGCCUUCGGGUUGUAAACCGCUUUCAGCCAUGACGCGGUAGUGGCAGAAGGAGCACCGGCUAACUAGGGGCCAGCAGCGGCGGUAAUU